rnacentral:lncRNA from 1 species
GAGAGAAGAGAAGGGACUAGCCAGGACCAUGGUGACAGCCAUGCACCCAGAACCAAGGAGUUGAGGGCAACCUGGAGGAGUUAGGAGGACCUAUGGGAGUUUUUCACUCAAUAAUCUUUGCCAUGGACAAAAUGAUCAAAACCAGAGCGGGAUCUGCAGACACACUUCAGCAUCAAGCUGACUUAUCACUUCUCUGGAAACGGUUAACAUGCCUGGUCCAGCCACCCGUCAUGUGGAUGUGAUGUGCCUCUCAGCAGUUCUGAAGAUGACAGAAGGGGAGUGUAGAUGACUUGCAGGGGUGAUGGAUCCCUGGAAAUGCAGGUGUUUGUAAGGAAAUGAUUUCAAGAGCCUAGCCAGGAUGUGAUAUAAUCAGACAAUGCUGAGAUCUUGAAGUCGACUGAAUGAUGGUUUUGAAGUUCAAAUUUUAGGGAGCUGAGCGUCUUGGAAUGCUGAUAGAACUGCCAACAAGUUCAGAGAAGGAAAUUCACUUGCAGAUCUAAAAGAGACAAACAGAAGCUGGAAAUUGUACAUAGAGUUGAUAGGAAAACCACCUGAUUACAAACCACUUAUCGGAAAUGCUAUGUGGAGAAGAAUUAGAAGACAUGGUCACUGAGCAGGAAGAGACAUGACUCAGCCAAGGUAUUAUUGGAAAGGUUGGAGGUGAUCUACUAUAUGGAAGCAUCUCUGAAGUCUAGACAUAAACCAUCACAGCUCUAGAAAUAGUGGAAGAGAAAACACGCCUUUGUAAAAGGACUGGAACAUAGGAAGUGAUUGAGUUUGAAACACCAACAAAACCAUAUAGGGUGACGGACAGAAACCAGAUUAUAAGGUGUUAAGGAGGGAGGAAGAA